rnacentral:sRNA from 1 species
AUUCAUAUAAUAAAAAAAAUUAGAACAUCCAAAGG